CCCAUUUAAUUAAGAAGUCAAGUGGGCAAGUGGGUAGAAAAGCACUCAAGUGUUUUGUGAUAUUUUGAAGAGUUGUGUGAGCCAUUCUAACCCCCAAAUCCGACCACUCUCCCUCCCUCAUUCACUCUCAUCUGAUUUUUGAAGACUCUCUCAAGUGUUCUCUCCAUUUUGAACCCCAAGAACACCAAAGAAACUUGGAAGCUAAGUCUUGGUCUAGGAAGGGUUUUCCCUAAGUUGGUUAGGGUUUUUGAAAGGUUUUGAAGGAGUCAAAGCUUAUAGGAAGGUCCAAACCUUAAGCAAGAACACCAAAGAGUAUUGGCUAAGCGUAACUGGACUGAACGUUGGAGGGUGAAAACCUGCUGAGCGCUAAGGACUCCAAGUAAGAACAAGGGCAAGGCAGAGCAGUGAGCGCUGGAGUCUUCCUUGCAAAUGUACAUGUGGACCGACCUUUUGGGAAGCCUUUUUAUUUUUGGAAAUGUUGUGUAAUUUUCCUAAACUAGGCUCACUCUAAUCUUUAUAAAACAUGUUUGUAACUAAAUGUUAAGUAUGGCCAUACGACUUUUUAAAAGUUUUUUUUCUAUGGGUUUUUGACGCAUUUUGUUUAAUGAAAACAUUUAUAUUUCCGCAUUAUCGAGUCUUGAAAAUCCGGGUCGUUACACACAGGGUGUAUGCUUGACGUACUUUACGAUAGCAAAUGUUUUAUAUGAUAUGUUUAUGUUAAUGUAUGAAUAUGCUAGUGUAUGAUUAUAUUUAUU